AUGAGUGUUUUCCGCCUGCCGACAUCAGUAUGUGACGACCUUACAAGGUUGAUGAGACAGUAUUGGUGGGGAGUGGAGAAGGGCAAGAGGAAGAUGGCUUGGUUGAGCUGGGAGAAGAUGAUAUUGCCUAAGGAUAUGGGGGGCAUGGGGUUUAGGGACAUGCGGGCUUUCAACCAAGCGCUGCUUGCAAAUCAGGCUUGGAGAUUAUUACAAACCCCGGACAGCCUAUGUGCUCGCCUGCUACGGGCAAGAUACUACCCAAACGGUAAUCUUCUGGAUACGGUGUUUCCAGCCAGCUCUUCUACGGUUUGGAAAGGAAUCAUCCAUGGUCUGGAACUAUUGAAGAAAGGCUUGAUUUGGAGAGUUGGUAAUGGCACAAUGAUAAGAACGUGGAGGGAUCCGUGGAUCCCCAGGAGGCAUGACUUUAAACCAAUAACCCCAAAAGGAAAUUGCAGAUAUAACUGGGUUGCUGAUUUUUUGUAG
rnacentral:rRNA from 1 species